rnacentral:rRNA from 1 species
AUGGCCAUCUCACCCAGCUCGGAGCUCCUCUCCCAGCCCCAACAAUGGCCGCUCCUCCUCCUUCUGGCACUCGUCUCCCUCGUGCUCUUAACGAGGAGACUGAGCAACAAAGGGCUCAAGCUACCGCCAGGCCCAGCCCGGGCUCCAAUCCCGGGGAACCUGCACCAGCUAGGCGUGCUGCCGCACCGGAGCUUACGGGAUCUUGCGCGGAAGCACGGGCCGGUGAUGCAGCUGCAGCUCGGCACCGUGCGGACGGUGGUGGUGUCGUCGGCUGAGGCGGCGCGCGAGGUGAUGAAGACGCACGACGAGGACUGCUGCACCCGACCCGUGUCCCCCGGGAUGAAGCGGUUGUCCUACGGCCUCAAGAACGUCGGGUUCGCGCCAUACGGCGCCUACUGGCACGCCAUGCGCAAGUUCUUCGUGGUCGAGCUCUUCGGCGUGCGCCAUGUCGAGGCAGCAUGGCAUGCACGCCAGCAUCAGGUGGACAAACUAAUGAACACCUUGAGCGGCUUGGCCGGAGAGACGGUAGCGCUCAAGAAGCACAUCUUAAGCCUGGCCGAUGGCAUCAUCGGCAUGCUUGGAUUUGGCGACAUGCACAACAGCGACAAGUUCCCACACCACAAGAACUUGGAGCACGUGCUUGAGGAGGCCAUACACGUGCAGUCCAGCUUUUCCGCGGAGGACUAUUUCCCCAACAUCGUCGGCCGCCUAGUCGACCAAAUCACUGGCCUCGCAUCUCGUCGUGAGCGGGUCUUCAAGCUGCUUGAUACAUUCUUCGAGGUCAUCAUUGAGCAGCAUCUUGACCCUCAACGUGUCAAGCCACACAACGGUGACCUCGUUGACCGUCUCAUCGAUCUAUGGAAGGACACCAGUGGCAACCUCAACAUCACAAGAGACCAUGUCAAGGGCAACAUAUUUGGCACGUUCAUUGGUGGCUCGGACACGACCACGGCGACGAUUCUAUGGGCGAUGGCAGAGCUGACCCGGAAUCCACGACUACUGGAGAGGGUGCAAGACGAGAUCAGGGCCGUGGUGGGAGGCAAUGACAGGGUGCGACCAGACGAUCUGUCCAAGCUGGUCUACCUCAAGAUGGUGGUGAAGGAGACCCUACGGCUGCACCCACCAGCGACGAUGCUACUGCCGAGGGAGGCCAUGCGGGACAUCCGAAUUGGGGGCUAUGACGUAUUGGCCAAGGCGCGAAUCUAUGUGAACGUGUGGGCCAUUUGUAGGGACCCGGCAAGCUGGCCAGACGACCCGGAGGAUUUCAAACUGGAGAGGUUUGAGACGAGCGAGAUAGACUUCAAGGGAGGGCAUUUUGAGCUAACUCCAUUCGGCGCAGGGCGGCGGAUAUGCCCUGCACUGUCUAUGAGCACGGCCACCGUGGAGUUCACUCUGGCCAACCUGCUAUACCUCUUCGAUUGGGCGCUCCCCGAGGGGAUCGUGAUUAGCGUGCAGGAGGAAGGCGAGCUUAUCCCCCUCCUACAGACACCGCUCUUGCUGGUGCCCACCCCAUACCAGCACAUCUGA